AUCCCCGGGGAAAGCACACACAAGGGCGACGCUCCCAGAUCUGGGGCAUCCGGGAGUGCUUCCUGGAGGAAGGGCCGCCCACCUGAGAUGCCAAGGAAGACGGGAGUGAGUCCCGUGGAGAGGACCAGGGGGGAGAUGGCAUGGGCAUGGAAAUAAAGAGGCAUGAGGCUGGAAAGGCGCGUGAGCCCGGUCAAGCAGAGCCUGGGAGGCUGUGGGAAUCAGCCUGGACAAGAGCCUGGGGCAGCAGGGAGCGCUGAAGGCGGGUACAGCAGUGGCUCCUGAAAUGUCCUGCCAUUGGUCCAACUGGCGAGCGAGCCCCAGACUCCAACCCAGGACUCGGAGAAUUGGACUCAAAGGGUUCUAGCUACAAAUCACUAGACCUUUGUGCUCUGGGCCGAGGCAGCCUUGCCUCCACGGUGGUAAGUGGGAGAAAGGCACAAAGGAAAAUCGGUCCCCAAUCUUGGAAGGCACUUGACCUUGAGGACCAGGGAACGGGCUGAACUGGACUCUAUUUUCGAUGGCCGUGUUUCUGAACACUUUCCUCCAAGUCCAACCUUUGUAACGGGCCCCACACGUAAGCGUGCGGAUCCAUGGAGCAUUAGGCACUCUACAAAAAUGCAGGAGGAGUCCAAGGGAUGAGACUUGCUUGGGGGGAUCUAAUCGCUCCCUGAGACGGGAAACAGUCUCCCCACCCAGCACAGAGAUGUUCAUCCCUGCCCACACUUCCGAUGGCUGCAGACCGCUGUUUCGUGGCUCAGUGCAGGCAGCUUUAUUGAGAGACAACGGACAUGUAAUGCUGCGUAAGCGUAAGGCAUACAAAGUGUCGACUGCAGAAACGGAUUGCAAUGUGACGACCACGGCCGUGUUAGCUAACACUUCUAUCCUGUCACGUGAUUCCCAGUUCUUUUUUUUUUUCCUGGUAAGACUAUUUCAA